rnacentral:rRNA from 1 species
GAACCGUGCAAACGUUGUUCGGAAUCACUGGGCUUAAAGGGCGCGUAGGCGGGCAAGCAAGUCGAAGGUGAAAUCCCACGGCUCAACCGUGGAAGUGCCCCCGAUACUGCUUGUCUUGAGGGAGAUAGGGGCGUGCGGAACUUCCGGUGGAGCGGUGAAAUGCGUAGAUAUCGGAAGGAACACCGGUGGCGAAAGCGGCGCGCUGGAUCUCUUCUGACGCUGAGGCGCGAAAGCCAGGGGAGCAAACGGGAUUAGAUACCCCGGUAGUCCUGGCCCUAAACGUUGGGUACUAGGUAGUGGACUUACAUGGGUUCACUGCCGAAGCAAAAGUGAUAAGUACCCCGCCUGGGGAGUAUGGUCGCAAGGCUGAA